rnacentral:sRNA from 1 species
AAGUGACGCAUGGUACUUGCGCAAAGACGACGAGGAGGCUGCGAAAAGUUAAGGGCCGGACCGCACGCUGUGCUCGCUUCCGGAAGUGGCUUCUGCGACAACAUGCUUGCGGACCUCGGCUUAAUCGGGACCAUAGGCGAGGAUGACGAGGUGCCGGUGGAGCCCGAGUCUGACUCCGGGGACGAGGAAGAGGAGGGGCCCAUUGUGCUGGGCAGACGACAAAAAGCCUUGGGGAAGAACCGCAGUGCUGAUUUCAACCCUGAUUUCGUUUUCACUGAGAAGGAGGGGACGUACGAUGGCAGCUGGGCCCUGGCUGAUGUCAUGAGCCAACUCAAGAAGAAGAGGGCAGCCACUACAUUAGAUGAGAAGAUUGAGAAAGUUCGAAAGAAAAGGAAAACAGAGGAUAAAGAAGCCAAGUCUGGGAAGUUGGAGAAGGAGAAAGAAGCAAAGGAAGGCUCUGAACCAAAGGAGCAGGAAGACCUUCAAGAGAAUGAUGAGGAAGGCUCAGAAGAUGAAGCCUCGGAGACCGACUACUCAUCAGCUGAUGAGAACAUCCUCACCAAAGCAGAUACACUCAAAGUAAAGGAUCGGAAGAAGAAGAAGAAGAAAGGACAGGAAGCAGGAGGAUUUUUUGAAGAUGCAUCUCAGUACGAUGAAAACCUCUCGUUCCAGGACAUGAACCUUUCCCGCCCUCUUCUGAAGGCCAUUACAGCCAUGGGCUUCAAGCAGCCCACCCCGAUCCAGAAGGCGUGCAUACCUGUGGGUCUAUUGGGGAAGGACAUCUGUGCCUGUGCAGCCACUGGGACAGGUAAAACUGCCGCCUUUGCCCUGCCUGUUUUGGAGCGUCUGAUUUACAAACCCCGCCAGGCUCCAGUCACCCGCGUGCUGGUGCUAGUGCCCACCCGAGAACUGGGCAUCCAGGUGCACUCUGUCACCAGACAGCUGGCCCAGUUCUGCAACAUCACCACCUGCCUGGCUGUGGGCGGCUUAGAUGUGAAGUCUCAGGAAGCAGCUCUUCGGGCAGCGCCUGACAUCCUCAUCGCCACCCCAGGCCGGCUCAUCGAUCACCUCCACAACUGCCCUUCCUUCCACCUGAGCAGCAUCGAGGUGCUCAUCCUGGACGAGGCUGACAGGAUGCUGGAUGAGUACUUUGAGGAGCAGAUGAAGGAGAUCAUCCGAAUGUGUUCCCACCACCGCCAGACCAUGCUCUUCUCGGCCACCAUGACAGACGAGGUGAAAGAUCUGGCUUCUGUCUCCUUGAAGAAUCCUGUCCGGAUAUUUGUGAACAGCAACACAGAUGUGGCUCCCUUCCUGCGGCAGGAGUUCAUCCGGAUCCGGCCUAAUCGUGAAGGAGACCGGGAAGCCAUUGUGGCAGGUGGCAGCCCAGGGCAAGCCUGGGCAGGGUGGGCUGGUCAGCUUCCUUGAGCUCGUAGUAUCCAUGCUGAAGUGCUUGGUUUCCCCUGCGCCUCUGCCGUCCAGUCUUCCCCAGCGCAGAGGCUGCACUGCACUAACGAUGAUCCGCUGCCUCACUUCUCCACGGGUCCUUCCUCCCUUUGCUUUAUCGCCUCACCAAUCCUCUUUGUGUCCUGUUCAACUCCCAACCACUUGGCAUCAGCUGCUGUUGUACCCGUCAGUCCAGACCACUGUUCUCUGUUGCCUGGAUCGUUGCGCAGCCUCUUGCUCGAGCUCCCUGCUUCCACUCGGCCUUUUGUGACUCUCUGCAUUGCAGAGCAUUUACGAUGAUUGCUUGCAGAAGACAUUUGUACUUAUUAUGUCCUUAUUUGAACACCCUGCGGUGGCUUCCAUUGGUCUUAGACUAAAAUCCAAACAUCUUAGUUUUUUAGGACUCUUCGGGCCUGGCCCUUGCCUGCCCGGGAUCCCAGCCGUGGAGGCUUGCUCAUGGCUCCAGCCACAUUCGCCUGCUUGCACUUUUUUUUUUUUUUUCUUUGAGGCAGAGUCUUGCUCUGUCGCCCAGGCUGGAGUACACUGGCACGAUCUUGGCUCAAUGCAGCCUUUGCCUCCUGGGUUCAAACGAUUCUCCUGCCUCAGCCUCCCGAGUAGCUGGGAUUACAGGCACUUGCCACCACUUCUGGCUAAUUUUUGUAUUUUUAGUAGAGAUGGGGUUUCACCGUGUUUGCCAGGCUGGUCUUGAACUCCUGGCUUCAAGUGAUCUGUCCUCCUUGGUCUCCCAAAGUGCUGGGAUUACGGGCAUGAGCCACUACAUCCAGCUGCCUGCUUGCACUUCUCACUAUAAGCUGGUUCCUGCCUCCAGGCCUUCAUGUUUGCCAUUUCCUCUGUCUAGAAUCUUCCCCUGGAUCUUCCCAUGGAUCAUCUGCCUUGUCAUUCAACCUAAUGUCACCUCUUCAGAGAGGCCAGCCCUUAGCUGCUUCCCCCUUGUCCCUGCACUCUCUCUCACAGCAUUUUUCACCCCCCAGGAAUUGGCUUCUCUGUAUCCACCCUGGAAUUUCAGUUCCACAGGACAGGGACAGUGCCUGUCUAUCCAGUGCCAGGCACAGUGACCAUACUUUGUGGAUGAGGAGGGGGUACAUGUUGAAUAAGAGCCUAGAAACAGCUGCCAGCUCAGUCCUCUCUUCCUGCCAGCUUUGUUGACGAGGACCUUCACUGACCAUGUGAUGCUGUUCACGCAAACCAAGAAGCAGGCCCACCGCAUGCACAUCCUCCUGGGGCUCAUGGGGCUGCAGGUGGGCGAGCUCCAUGGCAACUUGUCACAGACGCAGCGGCUGGAGGCCCUCCGGUAACAUUUGGGGUGGGGACUGAGGCUCCCACCAUCCUUCUGGGGCAGAGAGGAUAGAAGGAGGAAGAGGACCCUGAGCAUUCUAUUAGAGCAUUAGCAGGGGACACAUAGCAUGAUCUUGGCCUUGAACAUUUUAACCUAACCACUGUGAGGUCAUGUCUUAGAUGUGUUUAGAACUCUAACUUCAUAGUCAGAGAUGACCCUCAUGUCCUUGGAUGCUUGUCCCUAGCAUGGGAGCUGUUGUGUGGCGUGACAGAGGAAGCUGGCUUGGAAAGGCAACACAUGGUCUCUUCUUGGAAGCUUUCUGAGAGUGGUGAACAUUCCUGGGUCUGAUUGAACAAGAUUUAGAGUCAAAGUUAGCAGCCAUUACUUGAGCAUCUACUUUGCCAGGCACCGUGCCGCGUGCUUUCCAUGUGAUUUCUUGUUUAGUCCUCAGAGAAUGGCAUCAAGGUGGUUGGCAAGGAGGAACCCUUUAGAACUCUCCACCUAACCCUGUUCAUCAGUGGGUGCUGAAAGGUGUUUGUUAAAGAUAGGCUGAUUUAAACUGAGACAAUUGCCUAUGCUGUUAGCAGAUACAGAACUACGUUUGCUCUGUAUGAUGGGUUGUUGAAGGGUGGGUGUAAAUAUCCCAUGUGCUCACAUUUAGAAUCUAUCCCUAUUUUUUUUUUUUUUUUUUGAGACGGAGUCUUGCUCUGUCGCCCAGGCUGGAGUGCAGUGGCGCAAUCUUGGCUUACUGCAAGCUCCGCCUCCCAGGUUCACGCCAUUCUCCUGCCUCAGCCUUCCAAGUAGCUGGGACUACAGGCGCCCGCCACCAUGCCCGGCUAAUUUUUUGUAUUUUUAGUAGAGACGGGGUUUCACCGUGUUAGCCAGGAUGGUCUCGAUCUCCUGACCUCGUGAUCCGCCCACCUCGGCUUCCCAAAGUGCUGGGAUUACAGGUGUGAGCCACCGUGCCCAGCCUCUAUCCCCAUUUUAAUGCCCUGUUUUGUCCUCUGCUGGCUCAGGCUCUUGUGGAGCAUUAUUAGGGGAGGGUGUCUGGAUGAACAGCUGUUUGUGACUGUUUCUAGGCGUUUUAAGGAUGAACAGAUUGACAUCCUCGUGGCCACUGAUGUGGCAGCCCGUGGACUUGACAUUGAGGGGGUCAAAACGGUAAUCAACUUCACAAUGCCUAAUACCAUCAAACAUUAUGUCCACCGGGUGGGGCGAACAGCACGUGCUGGCAGGGCUGGGCGCUCAGUCUCUCUGGUGGGAGAAGAUGAGCGGAAGAUGCUGAAGGAGAUUGUAAAAGCUGCCAAGGCCCCUGUGAAGGCCAGGAUACUUCCCCAAGAUGUCAUCCUCAAAUUCCGGGACAAGAUUGAGAAAAUGGAGAAAGAUGUGUAUGCAGUUCUGCAGCUAGAGGCGGAGGAAAAAGAGAUGCAGCAGUCGGAAGCCCAGAUCAAUACAGCAAAGCGGCUCCUGGAGAAGGGGAAGGAGGCAGUGGUCCAAGAGCCUGAGAGGAGCUGGUUCCAGACCAAAGAAGAGAGGAAGAAGGAGAAAAUUGCCAAAGCUCUGCAGGAAUUUGACUUGGCCUUAAGAGGAAAGAAGAAAAGGAAGAAGUUUAUGAAGGAUGCCAAAAAAAAGGGGGAGAUGACAGCAGAGGAAAGGUCCCAGUUUGAAAUCCUCAAGGCGCAGAUGUUUGCUGAACGGCUAGCGAAGAGGAAUCGCAGAGCCAAGCGGGCCCGAGCAAUGCCCGAGGAGGAGCCAGUGAGAGGUCCUGCCAAGAAGCAAAAGCAGGGGAAGAAAUCUGUAUUUGAUGAAGAACUCACCAACACAAGCAAGAAGGCCCUGAAACAGUAUCGAGCUGGCCCUUCCUUUGAAGAAAGGAAACAGUUGGGCUUGCCCCACCAGAGACGAGGAGGAAACUUUAAAUCUAAAUCCAGAUACAAGAGGAGGAAGUAGCUGUUGUGGCCCGAAGAAAUUCAUGGGGGCAGCCCUUAAAUCCCUUCCCUGUGGGAAGUCAUCCUGGCUGGUCUGUCUUUUCUCCAUUUGUUUUAAAAAAAAAAAAAACAAAAACCAACACUUUGGUGUGGUGGUAUGGUACGUAGCUAUUUUCCUAAGCAUGUCUGUCAAUCUCCCUUCUUGCUGAUUAGCUUUCAUAUGACUAUAUUAAAUGGAAGUAUUUUUGGGAAAAGAGAAACCAA